rnacentral:lncRNA from 1 species
UGGCCUCCUGCUAAUACUCGAUGAAACCUAUCCCUGCAAUAGACUGGUCUUCCGUCGGCAGCCUCAGCGGCAGCUGCCGCUAGAUCGUCAUCAGAUAUCACGUCUGCAGGCAAUUGAAGCAACUCCUCCUUCCUACAAGGCACAUAAAAAAUUGCAAUUACCUGGUUGAAAUGAUUAGGAAGAUGGUGCAAGGAUCUUUAUGUCUUUCCUUACCUUAGGUUGAACUUUGUGUUAAUUUUUGGAGUUUGAGUGGUAGAUUUAUUUUCUUCUGUGGUAAAGGUGGUUCGAAAAAAGUUCUCCACGGGUGUAGCAAAGAUAAAUAGCAUAACUCCAGUAACAAGUAAUGCUCCUGUACCGACAAGAGUUUGCUUCAGAAGUUUAACGACUGGUUUGACCUGGAGACAUAGAAAUCAAGUUUAUCAUUUGCUCUUCUAGCCUGCAUUAAAAAAAAUCAGCAUGAUGAGUUGAUGCAAUGUUGUGUUAUUUCACAAUGCCCGGUACCUUGUAAGAGCCCAGCAAUCUAUCACGAGCUAGGAUCUGCAAAGAAAGCUAAGUUUUCAGUUUAUAGUGCCUGAAAUGAGAGAAAUGAAGCAUGUCACUUGUUCCUUUAGUAGUUACUGUUAGGAAAUUUUAGCUAUAUUUAUUCCAUAUCCUAUGUACAUCUAUCCUACCGAAUCUCACUAAGUGAGAGCCUCAUACAUUGAGCCGCCCUUAUUCCAUAUCCUACGUAUUCACUAAUUUUGAACAGACUGCUUAUUGCUUAAUGAAGUGGUAUCUUCUACAAUUUGAAAAGCAACAGUGGCUAACCUAUUAUUUGUUCACCUUUACCUCUAAAUUAAAUUUACUCCUUUUCUAUUUGUUUACUUUUAGUGAAUGAAAAAGGUGCAUGUAGAAGAGGCUAACCUCAGGUGGCUUGACCCACAUCUGUCCGUCAUACCAGCCACUUUCUUCAUAAGGAAUGACCGCCGAUAGAAGUCUAUCACCAACAUAACUCCACCCCUGCAUUGGAAUUCACUUAUCUUAACUGCACCAUGUAUUUAAGUGUAAAGGUGCAGACACAGCCACUUUAAUCAUCAGGUAUAUUUGGUUUGAAUAGUGAGCUAUGAAUAGAUUACAUUAAGUUGAAAAUUUAUUAUAUUGCACAUUGGCAACAACAUGCAUGGCUACAAAAGGGAGUUCCAACUGAGUUAAACUUGCAAAUCUUGACCUGCAAAUGCAAUUAUACAGUUUUGAACUUUUGAAUUCAUGAUGUCUUCUACUGGGACAAAUGUGUUUCUAAUUUUGUGUCUUACACAAUACUUUCUGGCCCCCAUAAAUGAAAUGAUUGUAGAACACAGAGAGGAUUACAACCCACCAGAUAAAUCCUCAAGACAAACAAAGAGACAAUGAAGAGUGUUCCUGUUCCAGCAGCUAGUGCAAAUCUUAGAGGCUCCUGCAAGGUAGUUAACAUUAACUCAGGAACAAGGAACUUUGAUGUGCCACUUUAUAAAUGUUUUAAUUCGUGUUUGUGUGCAGCUCGCAGAUACUAGUUAGUAUGCAUGCAUCAAAAUAUCUGGUCGAUUAACUGAUUAGAUGUCCCAUAUUCCCCAUAAUUAUAAAGGGCGGCCUAGUGCACAAGGCUCCCACCUAGUGGGGUUUGGGGAGAGUACAUUCGAACUGCUGCUGAAUCCACGGGCAGGGAAGAGACAACCUGGCGAACACGCAGCUUACCCUGUAAGCAAAGAUACUAUUUUCAGGAUUUGGACCCAUGACCUCGUGGUCACUAAGCAACAACCUUAUUGUUGCACCGAGCUCACCCUCUAGAUUCCCCAUGAUUAUAUGCACAUAUUUUUUUUUACUUCUUUCUUACUCUAGAAGGAUUAAAGCUUGCAGCUGCAAUUGGCACUCCAAGAACUAUGAACACCGACAACCAGAGGCCUCCAAGGCGAAGGAAGAAAGACCCAGGACCCAGUUCACCCCAUGAAUACAAUAUUCCAUCCUUCAGAGAUGAGUACUCAUUCACCUGUUACACAGUGAGAGUGUUGGUGCCAGCAUAAAUAUUUAGAGAAAAAGAAUUCAUACACUAAUAUUAACUACAACAUGCAGUAUCUUUUGAUUUCAAAGGUCAAACAAAGAAAACAAUUAUUGCUAUAACUGCAUAAUUGUUCAUACAUACCGGUCUCUGCUCAAAAGGGACUUCGAUUUCCAACCCAGGAUCCCAGCUACGUCCUGAAGACCCACUUGUUUCUCCAUCCAUUUCAUCUUUUAUGGCCUUGGCCUUGAUGGAAAUCCCAUGAGAAAAUCUUGAAGCUCUUCGUUUAUGGAUGAUCAAUGAAUCAUAGCUGCUGAGUGGUCUAGCUUGAUUUGCACUUGGAAUCAGAGAGCAGUAGACAUUUAAUCUCAGCAUUUAGUUGUUUAGUUUAAGCUACAGAAUUGUGUUUUUGUUUUAAAUCCUAGUUCAAUUCUUUGGUUGGAAAAGGAGAUUGGAGAUAUUAAAGCUCACUGAUAAAUAGCAAUGGAUUUUUUUUUUAUUGCAUGAGGGUAAGAUAGUUUGUUUUGUGACUUAGAGGUCAAUAAAUUUAAAUCAUGUAAAUAGACCUUUCACUUACGAAAAUAAUGUUGUAUAUAUCUACUCUUCCCGAUUUGCGUCACAGAAAACCUAUUAUAUUUAGGUGGAGGAGAACUAUCGGUAAUAACAAUUGUGGAUUUUUCCACGUGGGCUUCUGAGUACCGUUCAUGUGAUGCGGUUACGGUCCUUAGGAAUCAGAUUAUCCGAACCAAAUGUAUUUUCUACUUAGAUAUUUUUGUGGUUUGAGAAAGGCGUGGGGAACUGAUGGUUAAGCAACGUGGCUGUUGUUCACUUGCACGCAAAUUUCUACUAUGUUCCUGUUGCCUGCACGCAGUAGCAACGGGCACGAUCAAUUAGCAAAGCAACAAAAUUCCUAUUUUCAACCUCUUUUUGUGUGGCUGAGGAAUCCACUUUCAAAUAUAGCUAGUUCUGUAAUGAAUCUUAAUCUCUCUGUUAUUGCUUUGCUUCACAAGUCACAAUUGGAUUGAUACAUUGUACAGCCCUAUUAGGCUCGUACUUGCUAACCUGGCAAACUGGUCAGUCAUUUAGGAUAUUCAUAGUCAGAGUCUAAAAGGUUAGAAAAAAUAAAUAAAAUGAAAAGCUGUGGUUUUUCAAUUUUCUAAAAAUUAUUGUAAUACUUUAAAAAACACUGAUCUUAGGUUGAUUUUGGUGUAUAUCAUAUUAAUGUAACAUCAAAAGAAACUAAAUGACCACUUUAGUUCUUAUAUUUGUGCUUACUAACUCGGGUUAGUACCUCCAUCUACCUCCGUUUGAGUUAAUUGACAUGGACAUGUGAUCCGUUAAGUGUGUAAAUGACAUUUCCACGUGAAGAGUGAACAGAAUUAAAAAAAAACGGAUCCUUCUCUUUCCACAAAUACAUCUAUCUGGGAUUGGAGUAUUGUUUUAUGAAGUUGCCGUCAGUUUUAAUUAACAAUAAUCAUUUCAUGACAGAAAAGGGGAAACCAUAAUCAUUUCAUGACCCAGGGUCUGUAAUCACGUUUAUGAUCAGUGUUCUUAAGCUUUUAAUAAAAACUCGGUGCAUUUUGAUUUUGUUGAAUUUAUGAACCUCUUAUUUUCGACAUGAAAUUAAAAUCACGAGGAACUAUCAUGUUUCAGGCAUUAAUAUCCUUGGCUAUGAGGUAGGACAGGGACAUGCUUCUCAUUAUGAUAAAUUCAAUUCUGCUGAAUAUUUGCCCACAAAAAAACCAAAGAGUACGUAUGAAGUAAAACUCUUACAUUCUAAUUUCGCAAGUUGUUUUAGAGAUGGAAUUUGUGGUUAGUUUUGAGGAUAGGGUUCAUACUAGCACCCACACUGACAGCGUGUUGCUUGUCAUUUUGCAAGAAGUUUGAUAUCCAUCUAAGGUUGCUUGACUUGAUAAGGUUUGUGUAUAAGACGUGAGAUUUUUUAUGGAGACAUCCCUCUGUCUUUUUCUUCUUCCUCGUAAUAACAUCAUUGUCCCAUGUUGCAGAGAUUGACAAUCCCUUGCAGUACUGUAGAUGCAUAUGAUGCUUGGAUAAAAAUAUGUUUAAAAUACUAUAUCUGUCAAUAUAUUUAUUUAUUCAACUUGAAUUGCUUACACUAAUGUCAAACUCAUAUUUUACACAUCAGUUUUGGUUAAUCAGCCAGAUGACUUCAUUCAUAGUGUAUUUAAGCAAUGUUCCAGAAGGUAGAGAGACCGUGUUUCUAUUUUGAGGUAAAAACUAAAAACCAAGUUUGUCACUGCAUCUUGAUUCUCAUACUUCCCGUUUUCUGGUAAAGGUAGUCAGUGCAUUAUUAAUAUUCUGCAGAAUGGCUAUGAUUUUGAGUACUGUAUUGGUUUAAGGGUAAAGGCCACCCAGGGGGGUGGACUUCUAUUCAUUUGUUGUUCCCUAAUGGUACAAUUUUUCUAACCUGCCAACGCAACAUUCCUAUCCAAACUCAAAAACUUAGAUGGAUGUCAAAUUUUUAAGUGAAUGCCCCAUCCAAACAAUGCUUCCAAUGUUUUCAUAAAACUCUCUUUGGUCAUAGCUAAUUAGCAACUUAACAUUUUACCGUCAGUCACGUGUUACAGUAUACUAGGAAACAAGGUUAGGAAUACCCUAUAAACCCAACUCGUAACACAUCACUAAGCCUAAUAAUCUAAGAUGACUAAAAUGGUCAGAUUUUAUUUUUCACCUUCUGAUAUUUAGGUGCACUUUUGGAGAAAUUGACGCUUGUCACCAAAUAAGAUUGUGGUAGCAGCUUUGGAAGUUUGUGCGGCUGGUUGUACCUCCAUAAGCACCCAAGCAGCUGCAUACGCAAGCUACAAUAUAUAAACAGAAUUAGAAACCAGCUAGUACUGCAAGGCUUUUUAUGGCUACACAAAUUAGAAGAAAAAUUGGUCUAGAACUCAGAACGAAUUAAAUUGAAGCUUCCUUUGUUCAGCACUCACUAGAAGUUCAGUGUUGCAUUUUCUGAAAUUUAUUUCCUCUGGUCUGCAUUGGCAUCAUUCAAGUUAUUCAUCUCUUAACUCCUCAUUGCUGUCAACCAAAGAGACCUACAUCCACUGCUAACAAAGCCAGCCAAAGGGGUAUGCAUUCACUGUUUAUGCCAGUUGUGAUAUGGUUGCUUCCCCCAUUUCUUCAGACUAUGCAUGCAACCAGCUGCUAGCAAUAAACCAAGCACAGCAAAUGCCAUUAAUGUUGCAUUACUAACAUUCCGGUAAUAGCCACCCUGCAACAACAUUUAGGAAGUUAAUAUGUUUACAACAGCACACAAACCAACUAAACCAAAAGAAACACACAACUAAAAAAAUUGAAAAUUAUUUUUAGACAGAAGUUAAAGCGUCUAGUAUAUAAAAUUGCAAAAAAAACAUGCAAAAUUAUAUUGCAUAUUAUAUUCCUAGAAUUUAACCCUUCCCUUAGAGUCACAUGAGCCAGCGAUGUCACCCUAUAUAGCUAACCAACUAUAGGGACAAGUUGAGGUCAUCAACAAGUUAUCACAUAAUCAAAAAGUUGGUCUAUUUUCAAAGUGCCAGCCAGCUUGAAUGAUCAUUUCAUAGACGAAAGUCAUGUUUGAGACUAGCUGGAAGGCCCAAUAAGAGUAAAACCAGCACUUGUUUCUGCUGCUUUAAGAAAGACCGUGGAGGGAUAGGAAGAAACAAGAGCAGGGCCACUCUUGAAUAUCAACUUCUCAUGCCACCCUCCACGAUUAUGGCAUUCUAACUUAAAACCUCAAAAUAUUUAUCUUUCAUCUAGGGUGAACCUCGACGUAAUGGCAAAGUUGUUGCUUAAUAACCAAGAAGUCACGAGUUCAAAUCCUCGAAAACAACUUCUCUGCUUGUGGCCACAGGAGUAAGGAUACGUAUAUCUACUCUCCUCACACCCCACUAGGUGGGAACCUCGUGCACUGGGCAUCCCUUUUAUGGUUCAGAUCAACUCAUGUUAAUAUUGUUUAACUGGUUAGUUGGUUAAUUAUAUGCUUCCUACAAUUUCAGAUAACUUAAUGAACAAAUACACACUUGCACCACAGAAAGCAGAACUGCUGCAUUUGCCGGGGCCAAAGAAAGCCCCAUCAUCCCUCCACGCAACUCAUUAGGCACAUACCUGCAGACAAUGUAAUUAGAACUAUCAAAUCAUUUGUUAAGAAAAUGAACAACUACAAAUCCUGUUAAUGAGUUUACAUGGUCCUCAAUCUGGCAAGUGAUGGUAUAAUGAACCCGACACAAGCAUGAAACAAGCAAAAUAGUGUCACCAGAACUCCAAUUUCCUGUAUGUGAUAAAUUAUCAAAGCAGACUCUAGGUUUCAAGCUUGAUAAUAUGACAAAGUAUAUUUCACUAUUUGAGACUUUUUAAAGAUGAAAGAUAAGUGAACCUGAUAGUCAUAGGCCACAAUAGAGAGGAGAAGAGCUAGUAUGAUGUAUGCAUAUACUAGGCAAUCCUCUGUUCUAAAUGAUGAUGGCCCACUUGUAAGACAAGGAAAUGCAGUGCUUCCAAGCAUCCUUGAGCCCAGAAAGCAAGGAUAUAUCAAUCCUAAUUGCACUUCUCGACCAUCAGCCUACAACCACAUGCAUCAAAAAUACAUGUUAGCAUUUUAAGUAUAUUAUUCAAUUAAGACCAUUUCAAGAAUCACCAAUACAGAUAAGUCUGAAGAAGAAAAGAAAGCCGAUAAAAUAUUCAUUGAUCCUAUACGAUUAUAGUGUUUUAAGUAUUCUCCACAUACAUUAAUAUCUCAGCAUAUCAUAAGAUGUGCUCUAGAAUUUCGAUAUCAUACCACCACUGUAGGUGCCCAGAGGAUCCAAAAAAUUCCAAUGGAGAAGUGAAGGCAAGUUUGUGCCCAUGCCAACAGCCAUAUCCUUUUAUCUGUGGAUUAUAGAAUUAUCAUCAGUAUGUUGCUCUCGAUGAACUUUUCACUACAUUGAUUGAUAAUUGAAAAAUGCCUAUAGUAGAUUCCACCAACUCCUUUCCAUGUGUAUGUCGAAGAAACUAUCAAACCAUGUCAGUCUGAACAUAGAAAAGGAGUUUAGAAUGCAUGCAUUCAUAGAUCAGGCAUAUUACAGCUUGAGAGUGAAACUGAAAAAACAAACUGAAGGCAUGGCAAACUAUAAUUAAUAGAUUACUAGGAUACCAAGUUAUUAAUCAUCAGAAACUUAGAAAUUGUGAAAAAAAUAUCAAUACUAGCUUGAUAUAUGCAAUCAUGAAUUCAGAGAUAUCUUUUCAUUCUGUCAAUGAAGUCAGAUACAAAGUCCAAAUUUGAUUCAAAUGAACCUCUAAUGUGUAUUUCCACUCUUAUUAAAUUGUCAGUAGAUUCUUAUCGCAGUUUAUCUUGCAACUAGUAAGGCGAGAUAUAUUGACAACUGUGGAUUGUUUGAUUGGAAUGAAAUUUGGAAUGGGUAUGCUUGACGAUAUGAAUUAUGUGAAAAAUAAACGGAUUCGUUCACCAGAAGCCACUCUGAGUUUUGUUUAUUUGGUUACAACAAAUUCAACUUUUGAUCAACCCAUAACUUAUGCAAUCAGAGCUGAGCAAAUUCAAUUUACCGGAAUAAUCUGAGCUGAAUACAUUUAUGCAAUCUACUUACUUGCUACCAUAUCUGUAUCUAUUUAAGCCUGUUUUCUUGUUCUCAUUUUUUUAUCUCAGUCUUCAAUUAGGUAACCAUGUUGUCUUUCCCCCUGAAUAUAUAUAUAUAUAUGCUACUAGUAUAUGACGUCUAGUACCAUAUGAUAACUAGUAUAUUUGCUUUUGCUGUGAAACCCUUAGAUGUUCUUUUAACUAAUAGGAUAAAUUUUUUGGCCAGAGUCACUACAAAUCAUGAACUGCUUUAACUAAAUUAAAUUCAUUACACAUGCCUCUUUUGUCCUUUACUCGAGCAGAUCUUCCCAUUUGCAGUACUGGCCUCCUGCUAAUACUCGAUGAAACCUAUCCCUGCAAUAGACUGGUCUUCCGUCGGCAGCCUCAGCGGCAGCUGCCGCUAGAUCGUCAUCAGAUAUCACGUCUGCAGGCAAUUGAAGCAACUCCUCCUUCCUACAAGGCACAUAAAAAAUUGCAAUUACCUGGUUGAAAUGAUUAGGAAGAUGGUGCAAGGAUCUUUAUGUCUUUCCUUACCUUAGGUUGAACUUUGUGUUAAUUUUUGGAGUUUGAGUGGUAGAUUUAUUUUCUUCUGUGGUAAAGGUGGUUCGAAAAAAGUUCUCCACGGGUGUAGCAAAGAUAAAUAGCAUAACUCCAGUAACAAGUAAUGCUCCUGUACCGACAAGAGUUUGCUUCAGAAGUUUAACGACUGGUUUGACCUGGAGACAUAGAAAUCAAGUUUAUCAUUUGCUCUUCUAGCCUGCAUUAAAAAAAAUCAGCAUGAUGAGUUGAUGCAAUGUUGUGUUAUUUCACAAUGCCCGGUACCUUGUAAGAGCCCAGCAAUCUAUCACGAGCUAGGAUCUGCAAAGAAAGCUAAGUUUUCAGUUUAUAGUGCCUGAAAUGAGAGAAAUGAAGCAUGUCACUUGUUCCUUUAGUAGUUACUGUUAGGAAAUUUUAGCUAUAUUUAUUCCAUAUCCUAUGUACAUCUAUCCUACCGAAUCUCACUAAGUGAGAGCCUCAUACAUUGAGCCGCCCUUAUUCCAUAUCCUACGUAUUCACUAAUUUUGAACAGACUGCUUAUUGCUUAAUGAAGUGGUAUCUUCUACAAUUUGAAAAGCAACAGUGGCUAACCUAUUAUUUGUUCACCUUUACCUCUAAAUUAAAUUUACUCCUUUUCUAUUUGUUUACUUUUAGUGAAUGAAAAAGGUGCAUGUAGAAGAGGCUAACCUCAGGUGGCUUGACCCACAUCUGUCCGUCAUACCAGCCACUUUCUUCAUAAGGAAUGACCGCCGAUAGAAGUCUAUCACCAACAUAACUCCACCCCUGCAUUGGAAUUCACUUAUCUUAACUGCACCAUGUAUUUAAGUGUAAAGGUGCAGACACAGCCACUUUAAUCAUCAGGUAUAUUUGGUUUGAAUAGUGAGCUAUGAAUAGAUUACAUUAAGUUGAAAAUUUAUUAUAUUGCACAUUGGCAACAACAUGCAUGGCUACAAAAGGGAGUUCCAACUGAGUUAAACUUGCAAAUCUUGACCUGCAAAUGCAAUUAUACAGUUUUGAACUUUUGAAUUCAUGAUGUCUUCUACUGGGACAAAUGUGUUUCUAAUUUUGUGUCUUACACAAUACUUUCUGGCCCCCAUAAAUGAAAUGAUUGUAGAACACAGAG